UGAUGGAAAGUUGAAAAGAACUUUGAAGAGAGGGUUCAAGAGUACGUGAAACCGCCAUGGGAAAAAACGGACGGGGCCUCGAAGGCAAAGCCGUCGGGAUUCAGCCGAACGGGCCGCGCGAGCGGGCGUCUCCGAUCGCAAGGCGGAGCGUUCGCCCGGCGUCGGCUCCGCACGGUGCACUUCCCGACGGCCGAACGCCACGACCGGUGGGGCGGCUGCCAAAGGGCGAGGCGGGAGCCUGUCGGACGGACCAGUCCCCCGUCAGACCGCCUCUCUCCGGCAGACCGACCUACCGUUCCCGAAAAGCUCGGUGCCCGCGCACGGCGCGUCAGUCUCUCGAACUCUGACCGCGGCGCCCGGCUCUGUGGCGAGUAGAUCGGCGACCCGUCCGACCCGUCUUGAAACACGGACCAAGGAGUCUAACAUGUGCGCGAGUGAUUGGGUGUCGAAGAGACCCAGACGCACAAUGAAAGUGAAGGCUCGGACUGCCGAGCCGAGGGGUGAUCCCGCCGCCCGGCGGCGGGCGCAGCCCCGGGACGCGCCGAUCGCAUCGACGACGGCGCGUACCCCGAGCGUACACGUUGGGACCCGAAAGAUGGUGAACUAUGCCUGGCCAGGACGAAGUCAGAGGAAACUCUGAUGGAGGUCCGUAGCGAUUUUGACGUGCAAAUCAAUCGUCCGAGCUGGGUAUAGGGGCGAAAGACUAAUCGAACCAUCUAGUAGCUGGAUCCAUCCGAAGUUUCCCUCAGGAUAGCUGGCGCUCGCAUGACCGAGUUUCAUCCGGUAAAGCGAAUGAUUAGAGGCCUUGGGGCCGAAACGANCUCAACCUAUUCUCAAACUUUAAAUGGGUGAGAAGUCGGGCUUGCUCGACUGAAGCACCGACCNUNGAAUCGAGAGUGCCAAGUGGGCCACUUUUGGUAAGCAGAACUGGCGCUGUGGGAUGAACCAAACGCAGAGUUAAGGUGCCCGAGAGAACGCUCAUCAGAUCCCAUGAAAGGUGUUGGUUGCUAUAGACAGCAGGACGGUGGCCAUGGAAGUCGGAAUCCGCUAAGGAGUGUGUAACAACUCACCUGCCGAAGCAACUAGCCCUGAAAAUGGAUGGCGCUCAAGCGUUCCACCUAUACUCUGCCGUCGGUGCAACGGCGCGG
rnacentral:rRNA from 1 species